AUACCUUCUGGAGACAACCGAUUGAGGGAGGUGUUCUUGAGCUGCCGGGAAGAGGCUAGAAGGAUGGUUAAUUGAUCAGUGAUCUCCCUGCUUGACCUCCUGUUGUGAUCCGAUUGAUUCCAAUGAGGUUGAGUGCUGUGGAUCAACAAGCACGACUGUGAGUGUUUGGUCUUGCAUUAUGAUGGCGUCUGAGUGUUGGCUUGGUCUUUGUUGGCUUGCUACAUAUCUAGAAAGCUCCAUGAUUUGUGCUAAGCUGAAGCGUAUCCAAUUUGGAUUUUCCAGCUCAAAAUAUCAGUAGAUUUGUUGUGGUAGUGCCUUAACAGGAUUUGAGACUUCUCCAUUCAGGAAAAGACAAGUCCGGUAGAUACAAAAAUUACAAGAUUGCAAGUUUGGAUUGAAGGUCACAAGAAAAAAAAUGGGGAGCCUAGUACUCAA